CAGUGGUUAGUUUAUAAAAAUAUUGGUUUUGGGGACCAAGGAUGGAAAAAUUUUCUACCCCUGA
rnacentral:tRNA from 2 species